UACGGAGGGGACUAGCGUUGUUCGGAAUUACUGGGCGUAAAGCGCACGUAGGCGGAUUUGUAAGUCAGGGGUGAAAUCCCGGGGCUCAACCUCGGAACUGCCUUUGAUACUGCAAAUCUCGAGUCCGGAAGAGGUGAGUGGAAUUCCUAGUGUAGAGGUAAAAUUCGUAGAUAUUAGGAAGAACACCAGUGGCGAAGGCGGCUCACUGGUCCGGUACUGACGCUGAGGUGCGAAAGCGUGGGGAGCAAACAGG
rnacentral:rRNA from 1 species